rnacentral:rRNA from 1 species
ACGGCGAGUGAGCGGCAAAAGCUCAAAUUUGAAAUCUGGUACCUUCGGUGCCCGAGUUGUAAUUUGGAGAGGGCAACUUUGGGGCCGUUCCUUGUCUAUGUUCCUUGGAACAGGACGUCAUAGAGGGUGAGAAUCCCGUGUGGCGAGGAGUGCGGUUCUUUGUAAAGUGCCCUCGAAGAGUCGAGUUGUUUGGGAAUGCAGCUCUAAGUGGGUGGUAAAUUCCAUCUAAAGCUAAAUAUUGGCGAGAGACCGAUAGCGAACAAGUACAGUGAUGGAAAGAUGAAAAGAACUUUGAAAAGAGAGUGAAAAAGUACGUGAAAUUGUUGAAAGGGAAGGGCAUUUGAUCAGACAUGGUGUUUUGUGCCCUCUGCUCCUUGUGGGUAGGGGAAUCUCGCAUUUCACUGGGCCAGCAUCAGUUUUGGUGGCAGGAUAAAUCCAUAGGAAUGUAGCUUGCCUCGGUAAGUAUUAUAGCCUGUUGGGAAUACUGCCAGCUGGGACUGAGGACUGCGACGUAAGUCAAGGAUGCUGGCAUAAUGGUUAUA